UACGUAGGGACCGAGCGUUGUUCGGAAUUACUGGGCGUAAAGGGCUCGUAGGCGGCCAACUAAGUCAGACGUGAAAUCCCCAGGCUUAACCUGGGAACUGCGUCUGAUACUGGAUGGCUUGAGAUUGGGAGAGGGAUGCGGAAUUCCAGGUGUAGCGGUGAAAUGCGUAGAUAUCUGGAGGAACACCGGUGGCGAAGGCGACAUCCUGGACCAACACUGACGCUGAGGAGCGAAAGCCAGGGGAGCAAACGGG
rnacentral:rRNA from 1 species